rnacentral:rRNA from 1 species
UACGUAGGGGGCAAGCGUUGUCCGGAAUCAUUGGGCGUAAAGAGCGUGUAGGCGGCCCGGUAAGUCUGUUGUGAAAGUCCAGGGCUCAACCCUGGAAUGCCGAUGGAUACUGCCGGGCUAGAGUUCGGAAGAGGCGAGUGGAAUUCCUGGUGUAGCGGUAGAAUGCGCAGAUAUCAGGAGGAACACCUAUAGCGAAGGCAGCUCGCUGGGACGACACUGACGCUGAGACGCGAAAGCGUGGGGAGCGAACGGG